AGUAAUAAGGACGAAUUUGUCAUGAGAUCUCCAAUUGCUUACGUAUCGCUAUCGAUGAAGAAAAUAAUUGUAUUUUUCUUCAUUUUUUUUGUGGCAAUUCAAUGUAUUUUAUGGAAUGUGAAACAAUCAGCGACCAAAUUCAUUGGUAAAAAUGACGAUAUAAAACCCAGAGAGCGACCGUGGUUCUUCACUAAUGGUGGAAAAGUGCUGGCAAUUCGAGCAAAUUUUUCAGAAAAAUUGGGCAGACAUGAUUCAAAGUUAAUGCCAUGGGAAGAUCCAAGUGACGUCAAAAUUAUGAUGAGAAAAAGGUGGAGAAAAAUAAAACGAUUCUAUUUUAUAAUUAUCUCGAAAAAUGGUGGGAGCUGAAACAGCAAUGGCACACUUGGUUUACCAAUAAAAAAUGCCCAGUCAAUCGAUGUAGAUUCACAGUUGAUCGCAAGGAAACAAAUACAGCCGAUUUAAUUGUAUUUUUAUAUCAAAAGAAAGAUCCAAAAAUAACUAAACAGCGACAUCAAGUCUAUGCAUUUUUCAGAAAUGAGAGUCCGAUUCAUUGGCCAGAACAAUACACAAAAUCAGUCAUUUAUAACUGGACGAUGACAUAUCGGUAAAUGGCUUAAAAAUAGAGUUUCUUAAUCUUAAACAAAAUGGUCAACUCUUAAUUUUCAGGCACGACAGUACGAUUGCGAUUCCUUAUUCGAAAUGGUUAUAUUUCGAUCCUCGAAUAAAGCAAAUGGAACAGAAUCGAAAUUAUGCUGAAAAUAAAACAAAAAAAGUCGCUUGGCUUGUGUCGAAUUGUGAUGCUGAAAAUGAUCGCCAGAUAUAUGUACAAAAACUCCGGAAAUACAUUGAUAUUGACAUUUAUGGUAGAUGUGGAACGAAAAAAUGUCCCAACAGUUUUUCCGAGUGCCUUAAUAUGGUGACCAAAGAUUAUAAAUUCUAUUUAUCAUUUGAAAAUUCAUAUUGUAUGGAUUACAUCACUGAAAAAACGUACCAAAAUGGUUUGGCUCAUGAUGUAUUGCCCAUUGUAUUCACGUCGUGAAGACUA